GACGAACCGUGCGGACGUUAUUCGGAAUCACUGGGCUUAAAGCGCGUGUAGGCGGGAGGGCACGUCCGUCGCUGAAAUCCCCCGGCUCAACCGGGGAACGGGCGCGGAUACGACCUUCCUGGAGGGGCGUAGGGGGACCUGGAACUUCCGGUGGAGCGGUGAAAUGCGUUGAGAUCGGAAGGAACGCCCGUGGCGAAAGCGAGGUCCUGGACGCCUACUGACGCUGAGACGCGAAAGCCAGGGGAGCGAACGGG
rnacentral:rRNA from 1 species